UCAUCAUAUACCACAACAAUACGAUGUAUAUACAUUUUUUUUGUAUGUAUAAAGUACAAAAGUACAAAAAAUUUUUUUUUUUUUUUUGCAUUCAUUCAAGAUCCAACCAAAAGUAAAAAAAAAAACGGAAGAAAAUUUGAUUCUGAUAUUCUGUGGUAUAUUCUGGUUCCUCAAGGUGAAGGUUUGGUUUUUUUUUUAAUGGUGUGGAAGUUUUUUUUGUUGUUGUUUCGGUUUUCAUUUUUUUUUCAUAUAUAAUCCAUAAUAGUUUUCAUUGCCAUUUUUAAUAUGUAUAUUGUUAUAACGCCCACACACACACACACAAAAACGAAUGAAUUUCAUUUGCAAGUAAGAGAACAAAAAAAAAAAUGUCCAAGUUCAUGGGUAUUGACCUUGACAAUAUAUACAGCCAACCAUUGUAGAAUAUUCUUUUUCAUAUUGAUUGACCUUGUUCGUUUAUCAAGGCCAACUGACAAUGAGCAAUGGAAUUUUUUCUUUACACAUACAUUUGUGUGUACAUGUAGUAUACAAUUUUAUAGAGAAAAGGGUAUUGCCGAUUCUCAUUAAUUUUGGGUUUUUUUUGUUGCUAUAUAAUUUUCAUAAUAGCUAGAAUUCUAUAUUGUAGAUGAUGUUGAAGAACAGAAUUUUCAUGGUCGCCUUGCUAUAUAUAUGAAUUCUUCAUGAACACAAUAACAGAAUUAUUAUAGUGAAUACAGAAUCCUGGUUGAACUUGAACUACAUUUUGUCGCUGCUGUCAACCUUGAUUUUAUUGUUGUUGGUGUUGCGUGUGUUGUUUCUGCAAGGUUUUUUUUGUCUCAUUUUCUAUUGUGUAUUAUUAUACUUGGGACCGGGAAAAAAAAUCUCAAGAAAAGGAUCAUGAAUUUUCCUUAAUUAAAUUUCCAGGUAUUAACAGGCAGAUUCAGGAAUACGAGAAAAAAAAAUGAAAAACUUUUUUUUCCCCAUUACUUACUACGAAUUCACAUUAAAUUAUUAUGUGAUGAUGAUGAUGAUGAUGAUGAAAUCACUGGAAUCAGUUGGAAAUACCAUACGUUUAUUUAUUUAUCUUGAUUGAUGAUCAAUCGAUUGAAACCAAUCACGUCUAUCCAUAUUUCACGGUCACGGAACAUUCGAUUUUCAUUUGUUUUUUUUUCUGAAAUCUUACCAAACAAACACAAACACACGCAAUCAUGGGACACAUUUAUCAAUGAUACAAAGUUUACUCUUGUUACAAAGUUUACUUUUAAAAUGGAUAUAUAUAAUCGAAAACCAAAGUUCAAAUCAUGAUGUUGUAUGAUCAUCAUAAUGAAAAUAAAUCAAAAUGUGUAUGUUUACAUGAAUUUUA